AAGUCGUAACAAGGUAAUCGUAGGUGAACCUGCGGUUGGAUCAUUAAUAAAAAAUUAGCGGUUUAGGUUCUUGGAUUGCUGUUUUUUUAACGGCGCCGGAAUUUCAAACACAUCUUGUGAACUGUAUUUGUCUCUGGCGGAUGGAUAGAAUUCAUUUUUCAAUUGGUUCUAUCUGUCAGCUUGGUUUAUAUAAACCAGGCCGUGGACAACCCGCCAACCAAUUGUAAAUACUCUUUGUAUAUUUUAAUGUCUAACAUUUUUUGUAUAAAUAUACAAACAACUUUUGGCAACGGAUCUCUUGGCUCUC
rnacentral:misc_RNA from 1 species